rnacentral:lncRNA from 1 species
AGCAUGCUUCAUUUGGCUGGGAACCGAAACCGGAAGAGGCUAAUGCUAGAAUUCUUUAGGAUCCGUGCGGCUAAAGAUGAUAUAUUUUGAAAUAUGUGAGAUAAAUGAUCGAAGGGAUUGUAUUAUUUUUAAUAUUAAAAUAGGAGAAUUGGAAUGAGUGGGAAGAAAUUUAGGUGAUCUUGGAAAGCACUGGAUUUUGGAGAAGAGUUCUUGGAGUCGACUCCGGAGAAUGUGAAAUUGUGAAAUGAUGUAGCGUCUGUUUAGGCUUUACCUAAUUGAGCUCGACUCGACCUGCAUACAUUAUGCUUAAUCAAUAAAU